AGAGUUUGAUCCUGGCUCAGAAUCAACGCUGGCGGCGUGCCUAACACAUGCAAGUCGAGCGAGAAAAGGUAGCAAUACCUUAGUAAAGCGGCGCACGGGUGAGUAACACGUGGAUAACCUGCCUCGAAGUGGGGAAUAACACCGGGAAACCGGUGCUAAUACCGCAUACUCUGACGAGAUCUGUGGAUUUUGUCAGCAAAGGAGCAAUUCGCUUUGAGAGGGGUCCGCGGCUGAUUAGCUAGUUGGUGAGGUAAUGGCUCACCAAGGCCACGAUCAGUAGCCGGUCUGAGAGGACGGUCGGCCACACUGGAACUGAGACACGGUCCAGACUCCUACGGGAGGCAGCAGUGGGGAAUUUUUCGCAAUGGGGGCAACCCUGACGAAGCAACGCCGCGUGGGUGAUGAAGUAUUUCGGUACGUAAAACCCUUUCGACGGGGACGAAACCGCAAGGUUGACGGUACCCGUAGAAGAAGCCCCGGCUAACUCCGUGCCAGCAGCCGCGGUA
rnacentral:rRNA from 1 species